GAAAUCCAAACAUGUGUAAUAUAACUUCACCCUACCAACGAAUUGAUGAUACUAAAACCUGCCAAGAAUUUGGCACUACAAAGAUUAGGGUAGAGAACCAGACCUACCCUAACACCACAAACCAGUAAUAGUUAAUACUAUAAACGCAACACCAAAACAGACAUUGUUAAUUUUUUUAAACGCAAGACCAAAUCAGACAUGCAUCUUCAGUCAAGAACAGUGUCCACCAAAACGGGACCAGAUCAUCCAGCAGCGUCAGGUUCAUCCAGCUGCCAAACUGCACAGCGCCGAUUGCUCCGAAUCCUUCAGAGAGAAAACGUUAUUGUCAAACCUAGCUCGCAUCAGAAAAGGGACACAACUAUUCUUUUCCGCUCUGCUCCAAUCACGUAUUUGUCCAAGACAAGCAACCACAACAACUACAUGACAGCGAGACCGACGCACAACAAAUAAUCUAAUCGUAAUCGAUCCGGGAGAGGAAGGAAUUGCGAUGCAAGAGUGUGGACAAGAAGCAAGAUGAAGAAAAAAGAACACGUAGUGGUGGAUGGUGCUGUGGUGAGCUACUAGAAUGCUAGAUAGAUAUCUGAAAAAUAUAUGAUGGUUGUGCACUACUAGCUUUGCAAGGGAGGGGGUAGUUGGCCAUCCUUUUUCACAGUGUCACUGCAGCCAAAGCCAAGCAAUCCUCCUCAGUCCUCACUAUCACACACACACAUACAGAGGAUUAUCUCACUUGACAAUUGACAUAGCCUGACUUUUGGAAGUCUGCAGCUGAUGCAAGAUUCAGCAAUACACUAGCAGCAGCAGACAGUAGUUAGACAAGUAGCGGUUACGGUUACGGUUGGAUUUUGCUUGUCUGCGGCCGGUGGACAGCUGAGAGACAAUGGCAAUUAGGCGUGUAGUACAUGUACAUACACCAUGUGUGGAAGCAAGGCAAUCAGGUGUCGUUUGGGAAAAACCGGACGCAUAGCUUAACUUUCCCUCUUGCAAGUGUAACCAACCAUGCCCUUCUCGCGUGCGUAGCUACAAAUGUCUCCAUCUCGCGUCUUCUCGAGGUUACUGCUGCUGUUCAUGUUCUCAUGUUGUAACUAACUGAUUUGUACGUGAAGAGUCUGAAACUGUUGGAUUUUGUUGGAAGGUAGUGGUGAUCGAUGAUGGAGUCGGCGAGGUUUGUGUACGAGCUGGAUCAUGGGGGAGAAGGCGAGGAGGAGGAAGAGGAGGACGCCUGCUUCUUGGACAUCUACGUGCACGGCGCGCGCGGCAUCCACAACAUCUGCAUCUACGCGGCGCAGGACGUGUACGCCAGGCUCGCGCUCACGUCCAGCCCGGACGACGCGCCGGCGCUCGACACGCGCGUCGCGGCGGGCGGCGGCGCCAACCCGCGCUUCGACGAGCGCCUCCCGCCGCUGCGCGUCAGGCGGGCGCGCCUCGGCACCGACGUGCUCAAGUGCGAGAUAUGGAUGCGGAGCUGCGCCAGGCGGCUGCUCGACGACCAGCUCCUCGGCUUCGCGCUCGUGCCGCUCGCCGCCGUCGCGGCCGCCGACGGCGCGCGGCUCGCGCAGGACUUCUCGCUGUCGUCCACCGACCUCUUCCACUCGCCGGCGGGGACCAUACGGCUCUCGCUCGCCCUCCACUCCGGACCACCCGGCGACGCGUGCCCGCCGCCGGAGCGCGCCGCCGCCGAGCCGUCGAUCACGUCGGAGGUGGUGAUCCUCGAGCCAGCGCCACCGGUGGACUACGCGAGGAUCGAGUUCCCUGACCUUAACGCGGUGAAAGAAAACGACGACAUGGCCGUGCAGUACCUGCCGUUCUUGCACCUCGCCGACGCGCAGGCCAUGGACGACGACGACUGCGAGAUGGCCACGAGCCCGCGCGAGGAGAAGCCGGCGUCCUCGGACGACGGGAGCAAGAACGCCUCGACGUCGACGACCACCGCCGUCAGCGACGACAACAGGGCGGUGACGCGCAAGGCGCGGCCCGACGCCGACGACGCCGCCACCGCGCCGAUGUCGUGCCGCUCGCCGGACACGCCGACGUCCAACGGCGGCAAGCCGUCGUCGUCGGACAAGGAGAAGGGCGCCGCGGAAGACGUGUUCGACUCGCCGCCCCUGCGCGAUAUCGACAUGGAGGCGGAGCAGAGCGCGAUGCAGCGGCAGAUCAUGGAGAUGUACAUGAAGAGCAUGCAGCAGUUCACCGAAUCGCUGUCCAAGAUGAAGCUGCCGAUGGAGCUCGACGGCGACAAUGGCGUCGUCGUCCAGAAGGAGGAGAAGCCGGAGGCAGAGGUGAAGCUGCAGCCCAAGAAGGAUGGUGCAAGGGUGUUCUACGGAAGCAGAGCUUUCUUCUGAACAAAAAGCAAACAAAAAAAAAUUGCAGAGAGAAACAAAUUAAGAUGAUCUCUUCUUGCAAUUGCAAAAGUUAUAUCUCAGCAAUUCAAUGCCAUGUACGAAGCAAAAUGCCAAAGAACAAAACAGAAGUUAGUGGUUGCUGUUUCUACAUCGACUUCAACGCGACUAACACCACGAUCAGUUCUCCUGAUUACAAUGGACUGCCAUGAACUUUCAUUGCAAAUAGCUUCGAAAUGCCAAUGUACAAGUCCAACAUUUCUGCCGGUCGUACACUUCAGUUCCUGAAGAAGCUGGGAGACAGUCUUCAGUCGUCACAAGAAAUUUGGUACUUGUGUAGUACUCUGUAUGAACAAUGACUUAUUAGUAUGAGAUUUAUUAAAGAAGACGAAAACUUCAGACAAGUCAAAGUCAAUGGGAGAUGAUGCUAACAUCUGCUUCUUUGUUA